rnacentral:rRNA from 1 species
CCUACGGGAGGCAGCAGUGGGGGAUAUUGCACAAUGGGGGGAAGCCUGAUGCAGCGACGCAGCGUGGGUGAAGAAGGGCCUCGGCGCGUAAAGCCCUGUCAGCAGGGAAGAAAAUGACGGUACCUGAACAAGAAGCCACGGCUAACUACGUGCCAGCAGCCGCGGUAAUACGUAGGGGGCAAGCGUUAUCCGGAUUUACUGGGUGUAAAGGGGGCGCAGACGGUGAUGAAAGCCAGGAGUGAAAGCCUGGGGCCCAACCCCGGGACUGCUCUUGGAACUGGGUGGCUGGAGUGCAGGAGGGGUAGGCGGAAUUCGUGGUGUAGCGGUGAAAUGCGUAGAUAUCAGGAAGAACACCGGUGGCGAAGGCGGCCUGCUGGACUGCAACUGACGUUGAGGCCCGAAAGCGUGGGGAUCGAACAGGAUUAGAUACCCCAGUAGUC